GACAAGAGAGCUAUGGUGGAGUGAAUUUAAGCGAUCAUUCACUUGGGACAUGAUUGAUGAGAUGGAAA